rnacentral:rRNA from 1 species
AUUGAACGCUGGCGGCGUGCCUAACACAUGCAAGUCGAGCGGCAGGCGCGGGAGCAAUCCUGGCGGCGAGCGGCGGACGGGUGAGUAACGCUUGGGAAUCUGCCUGUUAGUGGGGGACAACCCGGGGAAACUCGGGCUAAUACCGCAUACGCACUACGGUGGAAAGCCGGGGGACCGCAAGGCCUGGCGCUAACAGAUGAGCCCAAGUCGGAUUAGCUAGUUGGUAGGGUAACGCCUACCAGGCGACGAUCCGUAACUGGUCUGAGAGGACGACCAGUCACACCGGAACUGAGACACGGUCCGGACUCCUACGGGAGGCAGCAGUGGGGAAUA